UAGGGAAUCUUCCACAAUGGACGCAAGUCUGAUGGAGCAACGGCCGCGUGAGUGAAGAAGGUUUUCGGACCGUAAAGCUCUGUUGUUGGUGAAGAAGGAUAGAGGUAGUAACUGGCCUUUAUUUGACGGUAAUCAACCAGAAAGUCACGGCUAACUACGUGCCAGCAGCCGCGGUAAUACGUAGGUGGCAAGCGUUGUCCGGAUUUAUUGGGCGUAAAGCGAGCGCAGGCGGAAGAAUAAGUCUGAUGUGAAAGCCCUCGGCUUAACCGAGGAAUUGCAUCGGAAACUGUUUUUCUUGAGUGCAGAAGAGGAGAGUAGAACUCCAUGUGUAGCGGUGGAAUGCGUAGAUAUAUGGAAGAAUACCAGUGGCGAAGGCGGCUCUCUGGUCUGCAACUGACGCUGAGGCUCGAAAGCAUGGGUAGCGAACAGGAUUAGAUACCCUGGUAGUC
rnacentral:rRNA from 1 species